rnacentral:rRNA from 1 species
GGCGCACGGGGGCACCAUGGUGGCGAGUGGCCAACGGGUGAGUAAUACAUCGGAACGUGCCCAGUCGUGGGGGAUAACGUAUCGAAGGCUACACUAAUACCACAUACGACUCUGGUUGAAAGCGGGGGAUCGCAAGACCUCUCGCGAUUGGAGUGGCCGAUGGCACAUUAGGUAGUUGGUGGGGUAAAGGCUCACCAAUCCGACUACCUGUAGCUGGUCUGAGAAGACGACCAGCCACACUGAGACUGAUACACGGACCAGACUCCUACCGCAGGCAGCCGUGGGGAAUUUUGGACAAUGGGCGCAAGCGUGAUCCAGCCAUUCCGCGGGCAAGAAGAACGCCCUCUCGUUGUAAACUGCUUUUGUACUGAACGAAGAGGCCUUCUCUAAUAGCCAGGGCUCAUGACCGUACGGUAAGAAUUGCCCCGGCUAACUACGUGCCAGCAGCCGCGGUAAUACGUACGGUGCAAGCGUUAAUCGGAAUUACUGGGCGUACUCCGUGCGCAGGCGGUGAUGUCACAUAGGUGUGAAAUCCCCGGGCUUGGCCUGGGAAGUGCAUUUGUGACUGCAUUGCUGGACUGCGGCAUACGGGGAUGGAAUUCCGCGUGUACCAUUGAAAUGCGUAUAUAUGCUGAGGAAGUCCGAUCGAGGCGGUCA